CUACGGGACGCUCCAGUGGGGGAUAUUGCACAAUGGGCGAAAGCCUGAUGCAGCAACGCCGCGUGAAGGAUGACGGAUUUCGGUCUGUAAACUUCUAUCAGCAGGGAAGAAAAUGACGGUACCUGACUAAGAAGCCCCGGCUAACUACGUGCCAGCAGCCGCGGUAAUACGUAGGGGGCAAGCGUUAUCCGGAAUUACUGGGUGUAAAGGGUACGUGGGCGGCUGAUCAAGUCAGAUGCGAAAGCCCGGAGCUCAACUCCGGGAUUGCAUUUGAAACUGGUCGGCUAGAGUGCAGGAGAGGAAAGUGGAAUUCCUAGUGUAGCGGUGAAAUGCGUAGAUAUUAGGAAGAACACCAGUGGCGAAGGCGGCUUUCUGGACUGUAACUGACGCUGAGGUACGAAAGCGUGGGGAGCGAACAGGAUUAGAUACCCGCGUAGUC
rnacentral:rRNA from 1 species